rnacentral:rRNA from 1 species
UACGAAGGGUGCAAGCGUUACUCGGAAUUACUGGGCGUAAAGCGUGCGUAGGCGGUUUGUUAAGUCUGUCGUGAAAGCCCCGGGCUCAACCUGGGAAUGGCGAUGGAAACUGGCGAGCUAGAGUACGGUAGAGGAGAGUGGAAUUCCCGGUGUAGCAGUGAAAUGCGUAGAGAUCGGGAGGAACACCAGUGGCGAAGGCGAGUCCCUGGACAACGACUGACACUGAGGCACGAAAGCUAGGGGAGCAAACAGG